AACAUUAUGGAACACCUAUUUAUUAUACAUUGGGGUAUAUGGAGAACUAUAGGGCAUAUUGAGGGUAAUGGAGAACUCUCAAGGAACUUACUAUCUAAAUCUUGAGCGACAUGGGGGUCUCAGAGUCAUCUAGGAAUCAUACUACAUGAACAAGUUCCAAGAAACAGUCCAUAACAGGCAAACACGAAACAAAGCAAGGAUAACCAAAAUCUGUCUUCAAAUGAAAACUUAUGUGAAAGACCAAAAGAGAAGGAUACAGAAGCUUGGAGGUAUUUUAGAAGCAGAUCCUGGGAACACGGCCUGCCUUCCUGAUUCCUAACCCAAAUUUCUUUCUGCUGCAUUUCUUCUGCUCUUCAUUCCUGCAAACAAGACUCCAAGAUGGAGUAUGGCUCUUCUCCACUCAGUGGUACCAGAAGCUAAAAUAUUUCAGGCCAGCCUAGUGGGCAAUUCAGGGUGUCUUCCUUCAAAAUCCAUCUCCUUCUCUGCAACUGAGAGGGUACAUCUAAUAAAGAUGUUGGCACUUCGUUGGUUAGUUUUUUGCUCCAAAGUACACUCCUCCUCUGACAUGCUGGUAUCUUAAUAAAGGUCAUUCACAGAGGGGAAGGAGCAUUGAAAAGAAUUUGGGGAGGCUCAGAACCAGAAAAACAUCAAAGAAGGCCUGAGUCCAUUGGCUGGCAUCCAUAUGUGAUGCUGAUGGAUGUCACAGGAGGGCACAGUUUCUUUCCAAUUGCCACUGGCUUCCCUGCCAAGGAGAACAGUCCUUGAAUUACAAAGGAGAAAACAGAAGCCACUGUGUGGUAAACUGGAGAUGACCAAAACUUCUAACGCUCUAAGUGAACUCAAAUCUCACACCUGGAUGAGCGGCACCCCAGGCUCACAGGAAAUGUUCCAAUGAGAUGGUCAACCUGCCAGCGAGGCCUUCCAGCUUCCCCAACCAUGAGAGGGAGGCCAGAAACAAGGAAUGAAACAAAGUCUCCGUUUAAUUAAAAAAAAAAAAGAAAAAGAAAAGAAAGAAACAAGAUUUCUCCAAGAUACAAGUACUUGGACUAGAAAUUGAUCUCAGAAAGUAUCAGUGGGGUGGGAGAGCGGGUUGUAAAGGGAAUUGAGCCUGGUGGUGCCAAGGAGUAAAGUCAGUCUCCCUAGGAACAAACCAUAUCAUACUAGGGCCAGUCAUUUCUUAAUAGGAUAAAGCCACAAAAUCGGGAGAUCAGAGAAAAUGAAGCAGACAAGAUGGAGUUAGCAAAGAACUGAGGACGCCGUUAUAACACAUAGGACAGAAAUCAGUCCAAUCAAGUAGGUGAACAACUUGAUGAUUGACAUUUGCAAUAGACAUGAAUUAGUUUUAGGGAAAUAUUUCUUGGCCUUACCCCAGGCAAUAUUUAACCAAAAGCAGAGAGUAUUCUUACCCAAAUUGUCCAGGUACAACAGAUCAAAUUAAAAUUAGCAUAUUUGCAGGAAGUAUGCUCUAUCCCCUUUGUAGAAUAAAAAUUUAGAAGCUCAGACUACCACCUGGAUGAAGUCAAUAAUACAUUGGAUGGCAAAAUGUGUAAUUAAAAAGAUCUGACAGCCUAACAUGAAAUUUGAUAAAAUUCUAAUUUAAGAGAGGUAAGUAUAAUUUUUUUUUGCUGAAAAUCUUUUUUUUUAAAUAAAAAAGCAUUGCUAAUGUUGGGGAGACACAACCUAGUGAGGUACUUAUGAUAUAGCCGUAGAAAUUAUAAUUGGUGUAACCUCAAUAGUACUUGAAGUAGGACAAAGCCACCAAGAAACUCUCAUCUUCAGCUAUGUCUGCAGAAUAACGUGGUGGUCUGCUUUGGAUGGACUAUUUAGGCAAAGUUCUAGGUACCCUGUUCUAAGAUUAAGGAAGGACUGGGAUAGGUCUGGAAGAGAAUGAGAGGAUUCAACAUUCAUCAGGUCAGACAUGGUUGAAGGAACUGAGUCAAUAACAUCUGGGCAGGCCUGGGCUGAACGGCCAGAUGGGGAUGUGUUCUGGGCAGUCCAGGCCCAACAGAAACGGUGCACCCUAACAUCUCCAAUGGCUGCAGCAGGAGGAAGGGAUCCAUCACAGGAGCCUGUCAAGGAAGGCCAAACAGUAACAGUACUUCCCAAAAGAUGCAACCUCUGUCCUCACCCUCCAGGCUCUCCCUGUCUUGGGUAGUGUCAACGUGGCCAUGUUUGCAGCAACUAAUCCUCUUCUGGAAAUAAAGACCUAGGACUUCAUCCGGCCAGUUGGAAGAGCUUCUUCUAUGAGCCACCAAACUGUACUGAAAUCCCAAUAAAGCCUUUCUAAUGAGA